GGUAGCGUGGCCGAGCGGUCUAAGGCGCUGGUUUUAAGCACCGGUCUCUUCGGAGGCGUGGGUUCGAAUCCUACCGCUGCCA
rnacentral:tRNA from 1 species